AAUAAAUGUUUAAAUAUUUUAUGCAUUAUUAUAAGUCCUUUCUUAUUAUAGGGCUCUCAUCAGUUCAUUUCCCUUAUCAUGGGUGCACAAGUAGGCUGCUGUAGGGAUAUAGUCUGUAACAGUCCUUUAUUAGAAUAUAUACAGAGUGGGAUGUGCAUCGCUGCUCUUAGAUUAUUUACUGUUAAUCAUACACCAUUUCCAGGAUAUAGGAAGCAUGAUCGGGGUAUUACUGUUGAUAACGUCAGGAGCUCUCUUCAUUUUUGCUAUUUGCAUAGCCUCCUUUAUCUCUAGUUCUUUACAAUCUCAUACAGACUUCAAUAGAGCUGCCUCCGCCCAGUUGAUGCUGAUUGUUUGUUCGUAGGCCUUGUAUGCCAGCACGGUUGUCAGUCUGGCUGCAGCUAUGUCGGCUUUACGCUCCUUUAAUCUUUUCUCGAGGCUUCUGCUUGUGCUUCUGAUGUAGUAUUGCUGCUUAUUCUCGUCCUUAUUAUAAAAGGAGAUGGUAUACACUCCAGGCUUUUUAUGUUUUGAAACCGUACUCUUAUCAUUUCGUAGGAUAUUAAAAAGGUACUUGCCCCCCUCUUCUUAGGGCCAUCUUAUACUUCCCGUGCUUAAUGUACCUACCUAAUACUUUGUCUAUAUUGCCGU
rnacentral:lncRNA from 1 species